GGUCCAAUAGUGUAGCGGUUAUCACAGUGGAUUUUGAGUACGCAGUUUGAUGUCAGACUUCCAUUAACCCAGGUUCGAUUCCUGGUUGGACCU